UUUGCCCUUUGUGGUUCACAAACUUCCUUGUGCGAAGCGAAGUGGCUUUUGGAUUCCAGUGAUUCAAGUUUUCGCCAGCUUCAACCUUGUGUUGUCAAUUGUGAUGUCUGUCAAUUUCCUGAAAUUUGAAAAGAGACAUUGGUGACAGUCUUGCUACAUUUUGGCAGUCUGGAUUGAAGCUCC